rnacentral:rRNA from 1 species
AACGAACGCUGGCGGCAUGCCUAACACAUGCAAGUCGAACGAGACCUUCGGGUCUAGUGGCGCACGGGUGCGUAACGCGUGGGAACCUGCCCUUAGGUUCGGAAUAACUCCCCGAAAGGGGUGCUAAUACCGGAUAAUGUCUUCGGACCAAAGAUUUAUCGCCUUUGGAUGGGCCCGCGUUGGAUUAGCUAGUUGGUAGGGUAAAAGCCUACCAAGGCGACGAUCCAUAGCUGGUCUGAGAGGAUGAUCCGCCACACUGGGACUGAGACACGGCCCAGAAUCCUACGGGAGGCAGCAGUGGGGAAUAUUGGACAAUGGGCGAAAGCCUGAUCCAGCAAUGCCGCGUGAGUGAUGAAGGCCUUAGGGUUGUAAAGCUCUUUUACCCGGGAUGAUAAUGACAGUACCGGGAGAAUAAGCUCCGGCUAACUCCGUG